UACGUAGGGAGCGAGCGUUGUCCGGAAUUACUGGGUGUAAAGGGAGUGUAGGCGGGACUGUAAGUCAGAUGUGAAAAUUAGGGGCUCAACCCCUAACCUGCAUUUGAAACUGCGGUUCUUGAGUGAAGUAGAGGUAAGCGGAAUUCCUAGUGUAGCGGUGAAAUGCGUAGAUAUUAGGAGGAACAUCAGUGGCGAAGGCGGCUUACUGGGCUUUAACUGACGCUGAGGCUCGAAAGCGUGGGGAGCAA
rnacentral:rRNA from 1 species